rnacentral:rRNA from 1 species
GGGUGUAGCGUACCUACUAGCCUACGACGGGUACGGGUUGUGAGAGCAAGAGCCCGGAGAUGGAUUCUGAGACACGAAUCCAGGCCCUACGGGGUGCAGCAGGCGCGAAAACUUUACAAUGCUGGAAACAGCGAUAAGGGGACCUCGAGUGCCAGGUUACAAAUCUGGCUGUCGUGAUGCCUAAAAAGCAUUGCAUAGCAAGGGCCGGGCAAGACCGGUGCCAGCCGCCGCGGUAACACCGGCGGCUCGAGUGGUAACCGUUAUUAUUGGGUCUAAAGGGUCUGUAGCCGGCCGGAUAAGUCUCUUGGGAAAUCCAGCAGCUCAACUGUUGGGCUUUCAGGAGAUACUGUCUGGCUCGAGGCCGGGAGAGGUGAGAGGUACUUCAGGGGUAGGGGUGAAAUCUUGUAAUCCUUGAAGGACCACCAGUGGCGAAGGCGUCUCACCAGAACGGACCUGACGGCAAGGGACGAAAGCUAGGGGCACGAACCGGAUUAGAUACCCGGGUAGUCCUAGCCGUAAACGAUACUCGCUAGGUGUCGGCCACGGUGCGACCGUUGUCGGUGCCGUAGGGAAGCCGUGAAGCGAGCCACCUGGGAAGUACGGCCGCAAGGCUGAAACUUAAAGGAAUUGGCGGGGGAGCACCACAACGGGUGGAGCUUGCGGUUUAGUUGGAUUCAACGCCGGAAAUCUUACCGGGACCGACAGCGAUAUGAAGGCCAGGCUGAAGACUUUGCCGGAUUAGCUGAGAGGUGGUGCAUGGCCGUCGUCAGUUCGUACUGUGAAGCAUCCUGUUAAGUCAGGCAACGAGCGAGACCCACGCCCACAGUUGCCAGCGUACUCUCCGGAGUGACGGGUACACUGUGGGGACCGCCGCUGCUAAAGCGGAGGAAGGAAUGGGCAACGGUAGGUCAGUAUGCCCCGAAUAUCCCGGGCUACAUGCGAGCUACAAUGGUUGGUACAAUGGGUAUCUACCCCGAAAGGGGAUGGAAAUCUCCUAAAGCCAAUCUUAGUUCGGAUUGAGGGCUGCAACUCGCCCUCAUGAAGCUGGAAUCCGUAGUAAUCGCGUUUCAACAGAACGCGGUGAAUACGUCCCUGCUCCUUGCACACACCGCCCGUCAAACCACCCGAGUAGGGUCUGAAUGAGAGCGCUUCCUUCGGAGGCGUUCGAAUUUGGGCUUUGCAAGGGGGGUUAAGUCGUAACAAGGUA